CCUCGCUCUGAUACCACUUUAAUCUGUCACGCCCCUUGGUCCUUUUUUAUUUGAACACAACGGAAAAAGCGUCUAAAUUUUUUUUUUUUGAAAACCUGACCCCAGAGUAUGCCAGAUCCGCCACAAAUACAGGGAUUCCACUGUUCACACGGACAGAGUCUCCCCUGUAUUUGCACGGCGUCGCACAAGUACAACAUUACAAACAGAAUACAACCACAACUAAAUGAAUAUAGAAAUAAUUAUUCAUUCAUACAUUCAUACAUUCACCAUUCACAUCAUAGAUUUGCAUUUAAUAUUUAAACAUAAAUCCACAGACAAUUCUUUAGAAAACUAUUUUGUAUACAAAAACUUUUAUUCUUUAAAAACGCUACCACGAGGGGUAGAAAAUCUUUUAUUUUACAAAAUCCAGAAAUCCGUUUAUUACAUUCACGAAAACCCAUAUUUUCAAAUGUAAUAAAAAUACUGAACCAUAUAACUAUCUAAGCUAUAACAACUGAAAUAAUAAGGGUAAUAACUAUACCGAAAUAACCUGGGUCGGAAUCUCUAUCGACCGCUACGUACGUAUCUCGCGUCUCGUCCCAAUACACAACGCAUGCGAUACCUGAAAAAUGGUGGGGGAGGUGAGAACAUGUAAACAUGUCUCCCCUCCCAGUGGGUACCGCAAACCGAAGAAGGCGAGGAGUACUCACCGGAUCAGG
rnacentral:lncRNA from 1 species